rnacentral:misc_RNA from 1 species
GGGUGUUGCAUUUUGCGAAAGACAGUGAACCAGUUGAUGAGAUAUCUCUGGCCAAGCUUAAAGAAUGUCUAAAUAGAGUCCCUUCUGUUAAAACCGAUUGGGUUCUCAAGCGAAAAAUUUCUGAUACAGGAGCAGGUUGUAAGUUGAACACAAAGGCCAGUGGCAAAUGCAAUUUGGAGGAAGAAAAGACAUCAAAAAACUCCUCUCACUCACAUCAGCAGAAAUCUGAAUUUAUCUUGGAUGGAAGUGUCAUUGCGCUCGAAAAAGAUUCCAUGUUUAUUGAACCAAUAUCAUCUUGUAAUAACCCUCCUGAUAUUCAGUCUAACAUGAAACCAUUGAACAAUAUCAGCGACCAAAUUACUGGAGAAUUGAGAAACGAG